AACAACUGUUUGUUUUUAAUUGGAAAAAAAGGAAAGAAACGGAGGGGUCUGAAGAUAUUCCACUCUGGCUUGGGGGAUGGAGGAAGAGGCAAGAGGCCAGGAAAGGCAAGCAGCCUUUACAAGCUGGAAAAGGCAUGGAAAUGGCCCCCAGGAGCAAACAGUCCUGCCGACACCUUACUAUUCGCCCUGUGAGAUGGGUUUUCCACUUCCGGCAAAUACAUUUCUCUUGUUUUAAGCCAUGGAGUUGGUGGCACUUUGUCACAGCAGCAGUGAGAAACAUACAGUCAUGCAGCCCGGUUCAGUGUCUUGUAUUAAUUCAGCAAACUAUCCAUCCAUCUCUUGUCUCGGCUGGCUGGCAUCUGGAGGAGCACGCUGCAGGUGGAGGACACGCAAGAACUGCCUGCUGGGUGAGAACACUGAGAGCUGAUUGUGUACGUUGUUGAUUGUAUCCGCCCUUUGGAUUCAUCACUGCCUUCGCACCUGUAGUACAGAGGAGAAGUGAAUGCUGAACAGAUACUUGUACAAAGUGUACGUAGAUGAUGUGAUGAGGCCAUGACAGUGCACUCUGGGGAAUGCUGGCAGAGAGAGCAACAGGGACCUGAAUCAGAUCCUGGGGUCGGGCAAAGCCCCCUGGGUGCACAGUCGAAAUGAGGACUGGACACAUCUUCUCUCGGUUCCAGCUCCAAUGACAGAAACUCUUUCUGCACCAGGAGGCGACCUGAUUGGAGCUCUCCUGGUGUUCACCGUUGUCUUAACGGUGGGAGGCUGCCAUUUGUUCCUGGAGGAAACGUGACGAGGGCUAAGCCUGGCUCUGAGCUUGAAGGGGUGAUGACGACGUUUGCAGUCGUUCUGCCAUUAAUGCAGAGCGCCCUCCCAUCCAUCUCCUGGCUCCCUGCACGCCGUUCGCGGUCCGCCUGAUGAAUGGUGGUCGCAUCAACACUCUGCAGGGAUGGGAGAAGGGACCACUGCCCCAUAUCCACUGCCGUCACAAGGCACGGGUGAGCCUUGUCCUGGCUGUUGGGGCCGCAGGCACUUUCUGAAGUGGAGCUGGAGCCCAGGGCUACAUUCGUGCUCAUUGGGCAUCUCGGCGCAGGGAAAGGGACAGAGCUGGGGACAUGACACUGAACACGGCAGAAUCCCUGCACCCAGGUGUUGGUGACGGGUGGGAGAGGUGAAUGCAAACGCUCAGAAUACAAACCCUAGAGUAUUAUCAUGGAAGCAAGAAGUGAGAUUCAGCAAACUCUGAGGAGCGCAGGAGAGCACCGAGGGGCCUGGAAGGAGCUCGGAGUCUGGUAAAUGAAGAGGAGAAGACACUGGGGGUGGGGCAGCGAGAGCGAAGCCUCCCCACACUUCAGGGCUCUGGACCAUUGGGGACAUGGCUUCCUGCCUCCUCCCUUUUCUCCUCACACCAGCAAGGACAGCAGGGACCAUUUCUUGAGUGUUUCCUGUGUGGCCGACUGGCUAGAAGAUGGAUACACGCCACCUCUUCCUCCAUCCUCACAACAGCACCCCCCAUUACAUAACUAUGACGUCCUCACCCCCGGCCUUGCAGUUAGGGUUUACAGAUAACGAAUGGAGUUCACCUGCCCUGGGAUUUGACCUGUACUGGAAAAUCACCAUUCGGCACAGCGCACGGCCCUGCAGGAGGAAUCUCCGAAGCACAGUGGUUGGGACGAGAGGCGGGUUGAGCAGAAGUGAACCUCGCAGGGGAGGAAAGCUGUCAGCCUUGGCCGUGGCCUGGCUGCGUGGUCUGAGGUAACUCAGAGUGCUCCCGCGAGCCUGUCUCCUCUAUUAAACAGUGAGCUCCAGGGACCAGGUGUGCGUCCUGGUCCUCUGCCUCGAUGCCUGGCUCCUGGGAGUUCCUCACUAAACAUCUGUUGAACAAAGGAGGAGACACAUCAGUGUCCCUCUUGCCUGCUGUGACCUUAAUGCCAUCCUUGUUGUGUGGCCAGGCCGUGGCCUGGCCCCAGUGAGGUUUCCAGCCUCAUUACUGGUGAAAAGUACUUUUAGAUGCCUGAUUAUUUCCUUGUUUGCUGCUCCAUCCCUAAUCAGUCCGGCCCUCUGAUCUCCCCGCUGGGCCUCGGCACCAUGUUACCUCUCCUUGCCCUAAAUCCAUACUCUCAGGGCAGCCGCAGCCCUCCUGUCUGGAGUGCGGCCGCUCCGGUGCAGCUCCUGGCGCAGCCUGCCCACUCCUAGGUACACGUGGGUUCCGUCUGAGGAGGGCAAGAGGGGGCACGACGUGAGGAUGAGAGUAAGUUUGGAUCCUGGGGUUCGAACAGAUUUGAACCUCUGUGUGCACCACAUCUCCCGCCACCACAGACAGCUGAAGGGUGACUGGUUUAAAAACUAAACUUUUCAUUUUGAGGUGCUUACACAUUCACACACAGUGGUAAGAAACAACACAGAGAGAUCUGUGUCUCUUUUACUCACGUUCCCCUAUUGGUAACGUCUACAGAACUAUUGUACAAUGUCACACCGGGAUACUGACACUGAGACGGUCAAGACAUCGAACCUUCCACCCGCAGAGGUCUCUCACGCUGGUCUUUUACGGCCACACUUACUUCCUUUUACUCACCCCUCACCCCCGCCAUCCCGCAUCCUGAACUCCUGACAACAGCUAACCUGCCCUCCAUGUCUGCGAUUUUGUCAUGUCAAGAAUUUAAGGAAAAAGGAAUCUUACAGCAUGUAACCUUGACUCUUUCACUCGGCAUAAUUAUCUGCAGAUUCGACCGAGUUGCUCUCUGUGUCAAGAGUCUGUGCCUUUUUUAUGGCUGAGUGGGAUGCCACGAGACGGAGGGACAAUGUCACUUGCUGAAGGACGUCUGGGUUGCUUCCAGGUUGGGAGCGUCACAAAGAAAGCUGCUCACAGACCUUCAUGGACAGGUUUCUGUGUGAACAGAAGUUUUCAUUUCUCUGGGAUGAAUGCCCUUUCCUCAUCCAGCUGAGCAGUUGGGCUCUUUUUCAUGCUAUCAGUUAGCGUGUUCAGGGAAGGCAAGCUAGUAUUACUAUUAGCUAAGGAAAAAUAAAAUUGAGAGGCGGGCAAUCUGUUGUCCCUAAAUGGUAUCGUCUAUUCCAAACUAAACAGGAGUGAUGUUCGUAUCAGUUUCUGUUCGUGGAGACCCCCAUCCCUUCUCCCCCUCUUCAGGAUGAACAGACAUUGCCUAUGUGACCAGCACAUACACAUCACACUUAUUAAGCUGUCUCUCCAACAGGUUAGCUAACCUCUUGGGAACGUAGGGUGAUGCCUCAGAGAUCAUAGACCCCCUGACAUCUGACUCAUUGGACCCUUCUGUAUUUCUAUGUGUUUACUCUCACACAGACUAAUAAUGGAACAGAGCUCUCAUCUGCAAAAUUAAAGAUCCUGGAACA